rnacentral:lncRNA from 1 species
AUGGAGAUGGUGGAGAGGUCCCAGUUCCACCAAACUGGUGAUGGGGAGGUCCCACCUCAUGGUGGUGACGGUGGUGGGGAGGUUCCAGUUUUGGGUCCACCCAAACUGGGGAUGGUGGGAGCUGGGGGUGGUAGGGAGGUCUCAGCUCAUCAUGGUGGGGAUGAGGAGGUCCCACCUUGUGGUGGGGGUGGUGGGGAGGUCCCAGUUCCACCCAAACUGGGGAUGGUGGGACCUGGAGGUGGUGGGGAGGUCCCAGCACAUUGUGGUGGUGGUGGUGAUGGGAAGGUCCCACCUCGUGGUGGUGGUGGAGAGGUCCCAGUUCCACCCAAAGUGGUGAUGGUGGGAGCUGGAGGUGGUGGAGAGGUCCCAGCUCAUCAUGGUGCUGGUGGGGAUGUCCCACCUUGUGGUGGUGGUGGUGGUGGAGAGGUCCCGGUUUUGGGUCCACCCAAACCGGGGGUGCUGCUCAUGGCAAUGCUGAUGAUGAUGAUGGUGAUGAUGGUGACGAGUCAUGGAGAUGAUGAUGAUCCUCAUAACGAUGGUCAUGGAGAUGAUGAUGGUGAUGAUGAUGGUGAUGAUGAUGAUGAUGAUGGUGGUGAUGAUGAUGCUCAUGAAGACGAUGAUGCUGCGAUGGCGACAAUCACCAUGAUGAUGAUGAUGAUGGUGAUGAUGAUGAUGAUGAUGAUGAUAAUGAUCCUCAUAAUGAUGAUCAUGGAGACGACGAUGAUGAUGAUGAUGCCAAUGCUGGUGGUGAUGAUGGUAACAACACUCAUGAUGAUGCUCAUGGAGAUAAUGAUGAAGAUGAUGAUGAUGAUGAUGGACCAUGAUGAUGAUGCCACUCGUCACAAUGAUGAUGACGAUGAUGAUGGUGAAGGUGAUAGAGAAUGAUGGUGAUGCCACCACUCAUGGCAAUGAUGACACUGGAGGAUGAUGAUGAUGACGAUGAUGACAAUGAUGACACCACCACUCAUGGCAAUGCUGGCAGCAGAAGAUAACAAUGACGAUGAUGAUGAUGAUGACAAUGAUGAUGACGAAGGCAAUAGACAAUGAUGAUGAUGAUGACAAUGAUGACGCCACCACUCAUGGCAAUGAUGACAUUGGAGGAUGACAAUGAUGAUGACGAUGACAAUGAUGACGAUGAUGACGAUGAUGACGAAGAUGAUGAUGACGAUGACGAUGACGAUGAUGACGACGAUGGCAAUGACGAUGCCACCACUCAUGGCAGUGCUGGCAGUGGAGGAUGAUGAU